rnacentral:rRNA from 1 species
CGUGCCUAAUACAUGCAAGUAGAACGCUGAAGAGAGGAGCUUGCUCUUCUUGGAUGAGUUGCGAACGGGUGAGUAACGCGUAGGUAACCUGCCUUGUAGCGGGGGAUAACUAUUGGAAACGAUAGCUAAUACCGCAUAACAAUGGAUGACACAUGUCAUUUAUUUGAAAGGGGCAAAUGCUCCACUACAAGAUGGACCUGCGUUGUAUUAGCUAGUAGGUGAGGUAACGGCUCACCUAGGCGACGAUACAUAGCCGACCUGAGAGGGUGAUCGGCCACACUGGGACUGAGACACGGCCCAGACUCCUACGGGAGGCAGCAGUAGGGAAUCUUCGGCAAUGGGGGCAACCCUGACCGAGCAACGCCGCGUGAGUGAAGAAGGUUUUCGGAUCGUAAAGCUCUGUUGUAAGUCAAGAACGAGUGUGAGAGUGGAAAGUUCACACUGUGACGGUAGCUUACCAGAAAGGGACGGCUAACUACGUGCCAGCAGCCGCGGUAAUACGUAGGUCCCGAGCGUUGUCCGGAUUUAUUGGGCGUAAAGCGAGCGCAGGCGGUUUGAUAAGUCUGAAGUUAAAGGCUGUGGCUCAACCAUAGUUCGCUUUGGAAACUGUCAAACUUGAGUGCAGAAGGGGAGAGUGGAAUUCCAUGUGUAGCGGUGAAAUGCGUAGAUAUAUGGAGGAACACCGGUGGCGAAAGCGGCUCUCUGGUCUGUAACUGACGCUGAGGCUCGAAAGCGUGGGGAGCGAACAGGAUUAGAUACCCUGGUAGUCCACGCCGUAAACGAUGAGUGCUAGGUGUUGGAUCCUUUCCGGGAUUCAGUGCCGCAGCUAACGCAUUAAGCACUCCGCCUGGGGAGUACGACCGCAAGGUUGAAACUCAAAGGAAUUGACGGGGGCCCGCACAAGCGGUGGAGCAUGUGGUUUAAUUCGAAGCAACGCGAAGAACCUUACCAGGUCUUGACAUCCCGAUGCUAUUUCUAGAGAUAGAAAGUUACUUCGGUACAUCGGUGACAGGUGGUGCAUGGUUGUCGUCAGCUCGUGUCGUGAGAUGUUGGGUUAAGUCCCGCAACGAGCGCAACCCCUAUUGUUAGUUGCCAUCAUUCAGUUGGGCACUCUAGCGAGACUGCCGGUAAUAAACCGGAGGAAGGUGGGGAUGACGUCAAAUCAUCAUGCCCCUUAUGACCUGGGCUACACACGUGCUACAAUGGUUGGUACAACGAGUUGCGAGUCGGUGACGGCAAGCUAAUCUCUUAAAGCCAAUCUCAGUUCGGAUUGUAGGCUGCAACUCGCCUACAUGAAGUCGGAAUCGCUAGUAAUCGCGGAUCAGCACGCCGCGGUGAAUACGUUCCCGGGCCUUGUACACACCGCCCGUCACACCACGAGAGUUUGUAACACCCGAAGUCGGUGAGGUAACCUUUUGGAGCCAGCCGCCUAAGGUGGGAUAGAUGAUUGGGGUGAAGUCAUAAC